rnacentral:rRNA from 1 species
AUUGAACGCUGGCGGCAGGCUUAACACAUGCAAGUCGAGCGAGCGGCGGACGGGUGAGUCAUGUCUGGGAAACUGCCUGCUGGAGGGGGAUAACUACUGGAAACGGUAGCUAAUACCGCAUACCAUCAGAUGUGCCCAGAUGGGAUUAGCUAGUAGGUGGGGUAAUGGCUCACCUAGGCGACGAUCCCUCGCUGGUCUGAGAGGAUGACCGUCCACACGGGAACUGAGACACGGUCAAGAGGCCUCAGGGAGGCAGCAGUGGGGAAUAGUGCACAAUGGGGGCAAACCUGAUGCAGCCAGGCCGCGUGUGUGAAGAAGGCCUUCGGGUUGUAAAGCACUGUCAGCGAGGAGGCGUUACUCGCAGAAGAAGCACCGGCUAACUCCGUGCCAGCAGCCGCGGUAAUAC